rnacentral:rRNA from 1 species
GUGGGGAAUUUUGGACAAUGGGCGCAAGCCUGAUCCAGCAAUGCCGCGUGCAGGAAGAAGGCCUUCGGGUUGUAAACUGCUUUUGUACGGAACGAAACGGCUCUGGUUAAUACCUGGGGCUAAUGACGGUACCGUAAGAAUAAGCACCGGCUAACUACGUGCCAGCAGCCGCGGUAAUACGUAGGGUGCAAGCGUUAAUCGGAAUUACUGGGCGUAAAGCGUGCGCAGGCGGUUUUGUAAGACAGGCGUGAAAUCCCCGGGCGCAACCUGGGAAUGGCGAUUGUGACUGCAAGGCUGGAGUGCGGCAGAGGGGGAUGGAAUUCCGCGUGUAGCAGUGAAAUGCGUAGAUAUGCGGAGGAACACCGAUGGCGAAGGCAAUCCCCUGGGCCUGCACUGACGCUCAUGCACGAAAGCGUGGGGAGCAAACAGGAUUAGAAACCCCAGUAGUCC